GCCACAGCCAUGUCUACAGCCCAAGACCGGUUACUCACUGAAGCUAAGCAGGGCUGAGCCUGGUCAGUACCUGGAUGGGAGACCACUAGGGAACACUAGGUUGCUGUUGGCA
rfam:Danio rerio chromosome 9 genomic contig CTG956, GRCz11 reference primary assembly.